rnacentral:rRNA from 1 species
AGCGAACGCUGGCGGCAGGCUUAACACAUGCAAGUCGAACGGUCCUUCGGGAUAGUGGCGGACGGGUGAGUAACACGUGGGAACGUACCCUUAGGUUCGGAACAACACAGGGAAACUUGUGCUAAUACCGUAUAAGCCCUUCGGGGUAAAGAUUUAUCGCCUUUGGAGCGGCCCGCGUCUGAUUAGCUUGUUGGUGAGGUAAUGGCGCACCAAGGCUACGAUCAGUAGCUGGUCUGAGAGGAUGGCCAGCCACACUGGGACUGAGACACGGCCCAGACUCCUACGGGAGGCAGCAGUGGGGAAUCUUGCGCAAUGGGCGAAAGCCUGACGCAGCCAUGCCGCGUGGAUGAUGAAGGUCUUAGGAUUGUAAAAUCCUUUCACCGGGGACGAUAAUGACGGUACCCGGAGAAGAAGCCCCGGCUAACUUCGUGCCAGCAGCCGCGGUAA